rnacentral:rRNA from 1 species
UACGAAGGGGGCUAGCGUUGCUCGGAAUUACUGGGCGUAAAGGGCGCGUAGGCGGACAGUUUAGUCAGAGGUAAAAGCCCAGGGCUCAACCUUGGAACUGCCUUUGAUACUGGCUGUCUUGAGUUCGGGAGAGGUGAGUGGAAUGCCGAGUGUAGAGGUGAAAUUCGUAGAUAUUCGGCGGAACACCAGUGGCGAAGGCGACUCACUGGCCCGAUACUGACGCUGAGGUGCGAAAGCGUGGGGAGCAAACAGG